rnacentral:rRNA from 1 species
AGGACGAACGCUGGCGGUGUGCUUCACACAUGCAAGUCGAACGGGGGUAGCAAUACUCUAGUGGCGGACGGGUGAGUAACGCGUGGGAAUCUGCCCUAGGGUGGGGGAUAGCAGACCGAAAGGUCUAUUAAUACCGCAUAUGCCGAGAGGUAAAAGGAGUAAUCCGCCCAAGGAUGAGCCUGCGUCCGAUUAGCUUGUUGGUGGGGUAAUGGCCUACCAAGGCUGCGAUCGGUAGCUGGUCUGAGAGGACGAUCAGCCACAAUGGGACUGAGACACGGCCCAUACUCCUACGGGAGGCAGCAGUGGGAAUUUUACGCAAUGGGGGAAACCCUGACGUAGCGACACCGCGUGAGCGAAGAAGCCCUUUGGGGUGUAAAGCUCUGUCGGCAGAGAACGAAAUAAUAUGACGGUACUGCAGAGGAAGCAUCGGCUAACUACGUGCCAGCAGCCGA